CGAAUUCAAGUGGAUUGUUGGCCACGAACAGAUUGCAGAGUCUACGAUUGGAAGUAAAACAGAGAGUGAAGAUGAUGAUGAUGAAGUAAUGGACAAGGGCAUGGAGAUUGCAUUGCUGAAAGAGAAGGUCAACAACCUCACAAAAGCAAAUGCUAAACUUUUGGCAAGAAAUAAGC